rnacentral:rRNA from 1 species
UACGUAGGGGGCAAGCGUUGUCCGGAUUUAUUGGGCGUAAAGAGCGUGUAGGCGGCCAUACAGGUCCGUUGUGAAAACUGGAGGCUUAACCUCCAGACGUCGAUGGAAACCGUAUGGCUAGAGUCCGGAAGAGGAGAGUGGAAUUCCUGGUGUAGCGGUGAAAUGCGCAGAUAUCAGGAAGAACACCCGUGGCGAAGGCGGCUCUCUGGGCCGUAACUGACGCUGAGGAGCGAAAGCGUGGGGAGCGAACAGG